rnacentral:rRNA from 1 species
UACGUAGGGUGCAAGCGUUGUCCGGAAUUAUUGGGCGUAAAGAGCUCGUAGGCGGUCUGUCGCGUCGGCUGUGAAAUCCCGAGGCUCAACCUCGGGUCUGCAGUGGGUACGGGCAGACUAGAGUGUGGUAGGGGAGACUGGAAUUCUUGGUGUAGCAGUGAAAUGCGUAGAUAUCAAGAGGAACACCAGUGGCGAAGGCGAGUCCCUGGACAACACCAUGGACACUGGAGGCAACGAAAGCUAGGGGAGCAAACAGG